rnacentral:rRNA from 1 species
GCGACGCAUCUUUCAAAUGUUUGCCUUAUCAAAUGUCAAAGGUAGAUUUUGUGACUACCAUGGUUGUUUCGGAUAACGGGAAUCAAGGUUCGAUUCCGGAGAGGGAGUCUGAGAAACAGUUACCACAACCAAGAAUGGCAAUAGGUGCGCAAAGUACCCACUCCCGGCGCGAGGAGGAAUUGAUGAAAAAUAACGAUACAUGACUCAUUCGAGGCCUCGUAAUCGGAACAAGUACACUUUAAAUUCUUUAACGAGGAUCAAUUGGAGGGCAAGUCUGGCGCCAGUAAUUCCAGCUCCAAUAACGUAUAUUAAAGUUGUUGCAGUUAAAAUGCUCGUUGUUGGAUUUGUGUGUCACAGUGUCUGUUCACCGCGGUGUUUAACUGGAAUUAUGUGGUAUGUCCAAUAGGGCUUAGCUCUUUGCGGGCGGUCCAACUAAUUUCUUAUCGCGGUGCUCUUCACUAAGUGUCGAGGCGGGCCGGUACGNUACGUUCAUUUUGAACAAAUUAGAGUGCUUAAAGAAGGCUGCCUUCGUCUGACUACUUCAUGGAUGGAAUAAUAGAAUAGGACCUCGGUUCUGUUUUGUUGAUUUUCUCCGAGGUAAUGAUUAAUAGGGACAUAUGUGAGUAUUCGUUUUGCGACUUGUUAGAGGUGAAAUUCUUGGAUUGUCGCAAGACGGAAAGAAGCAAAUGCAUUUGCCAAAAAUGUUUUCAUUAGUCAAGAACGAAAGUUAGAGGGCGAUCAUAUAUCGCCCUAGUUCUAACCAUAAGCGAUGCCAGCGAUCCGCCGAAGUUCUUCAGAUGACUUGGCGGGCAGUUUCCGGGAAACCAUAGCUUUUAGGUUAGUCAAGAACGAAAGUUAGAGGGCGAUCAUAUAUCGCCCUAGUUCUAACCAUAAGCGAUGCCAGCGAUCCGCCGAAGUUCUUCAGAUGACUUGGCGGGCAGUUUCCGGGAAACCAUAGCUUUUAGGUUCCGGGGGUAGUAUGGUUGCAAAGCUGAAAUUUAAUGGAAUUGACGGGUACCACCAGGAGUGGAACCUGUGUCAUAAUUUGACACAACACUGGAAACCUCACCAGGCGCGGACACCUGAAAUUUAAUGGAAUUGACGGGUACCACCAGGAGUGGAACCUGUGUCAUAAUUUGACACAACACUGGAAACCUCACCAGGCGCGGACACCGGAAGGAAUGACAUAUUUGUAGCUCUUUCUUGAUUCGAUGGGUGGUGGUGCAUGGCCGUUUUUGUUGGUAGAGCAAUUUGUCUGAUUAAUCCUGAUAACAAAUGAGACUGUAUCCUGCUAAAUAGACGUAAUUUAUUGUAUCUUGGAAGCUCCC